rnacentral:rRNA from 1 species
GACAGAGGGUGCAAACGUUGUUCGGAAUUACUGGGCGUAAAGCGCGUGUAGGCGGUCGUGCAAGUCGGGUGUGAAAGCCCCGGGCUCAACCCGGGAAGUGCAUUCGAUACUGCGCGACUUGAGUCCCGGAGAGGAUGGUAGAAUUCUCGGUGUAGAGGUGAAAUUCGUAGAUAUCGGGAAGAAUACCGGUGGCGAAGGCGGCCAUCUGGACGGUGACUGACGCUGAGACGCGAAAGCGUGGGGAGCAAACAGG